rnacentral:rRNA from 1 species
UACGGGGGGGGGCAAGCGUUGUUCGGAAUUACUGGGCGUAAAGGGCUCGUAGGCGGCCAACUAAGUCAGACGUGAAAUCCCUCGGCUUAACCGGGGAACUGCGUCUGAUACUGGAUGGCUUGAGAUUGGGAGAGGGAUGCGGAAUUCCAGGUGUAGCGGUGAAAUGCGUAGAUAUCUGGAGGAACACCGGUGGCGAAGGCGGCAUCCUGGACCAACACUGACGCUGAGGAGCGAAAGCCAGGGGACGAGCAA